AUGCAUUGAAAGGGCAAACUUAGUUUCUUGGAAUGCUUCCGGUGAUCACUUCCCGAGACUUAAACAUCUUCACAUAUCAUGUGAUAAACUUGAGAAGAUCCCCAUUGGCCUGGCCGAUAUACGCAGCCUCCAAGUGAUGGAUUUGCAAAAUUCCACCAAAUCAGCAGCAAAAUCUGCCCGAGAGAUACAAGCCAAAAAAAACAAGCUGCAAACUGCUAAAUCCCAGAAGUUCGAGCUUUCUGUAUUCCCUCCUGAUUCUGAUGUACAGACAGCUUCUUAGAAAGGUCUAAAAUAAUCGCAUGCUGCUGGUUCAACCAGCCUGGUUGGCGCGCAUGGUUUUUGCUUCAUUUGGCUCACUGCUCAAACAGCGAAGCCAAUUGCAUUUCAUAAGUGGAACGACUGAUCCACAGUUUUGUAACUCUUUGGUUUCUUACUGUAUUUGAUGUGUGUUCAUGUUUUAUUGAUUGUGGCUGUAAUGUGCCAUCGUAGCCGAGGAAUAAGAACCAAAUGUAACGUUCAAGAAAUCUCAGACAUUGAUACUUAUAAGUUAUACCACUCUGAAUUUUCUCCAUUCAGAUACAACAACAGAACAAUAGUCACUUGUUCUGAUUCAUACACAAUUUGAUCAUGUUUUAUUAUUUAAACAGCA